CUCAAACGGAAGUAUCACACUUUGUGCAACACAAAACGAGUUCCCAUCGACAUUAGGUUGGCAGCUAUAAAGACAUCAGUGUCGAGGGCAUGGCCCUUCUUCACGUGCUGGAACCUCGAAUUGGUGCGACACAGUACUAGUCAAAAGUUUGGACACACCUACUCAUUCCAGGGUUUUUCUCUACCACAGCAUUCUGCAGAGAUAUGCCAUCCCAUCUGGUUUGCGCUUAGUGGGGCUAUCAUUUAUUUUUCACCAGGACAAUGACCCAAAACACACCUCCAGGUUGUGUAAGGGCUAUUUGAUCAAGAAGGAGAAUGAUGGAGUGCUGCAUCAGAUGACCUGACCUCCACAAUCACCUGACCUCAACCCAAUUGAGAUGGUUUGGAAUGAGUUGGACCUCAGAGUGAAGGAAAAACAGCCAACAAGUGCUCAGCAUGUGGGAACUCCUUCAACACUGUUGGAAAAGCAUUCCAGGUGAAUCUGGUUGAGAGAAUGCCAAGAGUAUGCAAAGCUGUCAUCAAGGCAAAGGGUGGCUACCUUGAAGAAUCUCAAAUAUAUUUUGAUUUGUUUAACACAUUUUUUUGGUUACUACAUGAUUCCAUAUGUGUUAUUUUAUCAUUUUGUUGUCUUCACUAUUAUUCCACAAUGUUGAAAAUAGUACAAAUAAAGAAAAACCCUUGAA